rnacentral:misc_RNA from 1 species
GAUGAAGAACGUAGCGAAAUGCGAUAAGUAAUGUGAAUUGCAGAAUCCAGUGAAUCAUCGAAUCUUUGAACGCACAUUGCGCCCGCCAGCAUUCUGGCGGGCAUGCCUGUUCGAGCGUCAUUUCAACCCUCGACCUCCCUUUGGGGAAGUCGGCGUUGGGGACCGGCAGCACACCGCCGGCCCUGAAAUGGAGUGGCGGCCCGUCCGCGGCGACCUCUGCGUAGUAAUCCAACUCGCACCGGAACCCCGACGCGGCCACGCCGUAAAACACCCAACUUCUGAACGUUGACCUCGAAUCAGGUAGGACUACCCGCUGAACUUAAGCAUAUCAAUAAGCGGGA